GAGGGUAGAGCUUAGUGGUAGAGCACAUGCUUAGCAUGCAUGAGGUGGUGAGUUCAAUCCCCGGUACCUCCA
rnacentral:tRNA from 1 species